CCCUUAGAUGUUCUGGGCCGCACGCGCGCUACACUGAUGCAUUCAACGAGUCUAAAACCUGCUCUGAUAGCGGUGGGUAAUCUUUUGAAUGUGCAUCGUGAUUGGGAUAGAUGAUUGCAAUUUUUCAUCUUCAACGAGGAAUGCCUAGUAAACGCAAGUCAUCAGCUUGCAUUGAUUACGUCCCUGCCCUUUGUACACACCGCCCGUCGCUCCUACCGAUUGAAUGAUCCGAUGAAUAUCAUGGAUUGAGGAUGCAAGUAGGUUCACCUAUCUUCAUCUUCGAGAAGUGAAGUAAAUCUUAUCAUUUAGAGGAAGGAGAAGUCGUAACA
rnacentral:rRNA from 1 species